rnacentral:sRNA from 1 species
AGAGCAGGCCUUUCAGGCAUCCUCUCCUAAAACUUUCACGGCCGAUCCCUCACGGGGUCGGCCUUUUUUUCAGUUUCG